GUAGGUGGCAAGCGUUGUCCGGAAUUAUUGGGCGUAAAGCGCGCGCAGGCGGUUCUUUAAGUCUGAUGUGAAAGCCCACGGCUCAACCGUGGAGGGUCAUUGGAAACUGGAGAACUUGAGUACAGAAGAGGAAAGCGGAAUUCCACGUGUAGCGGUGAAAUGCGUAGAGAUGUGGAGGAACACCAGUGGCGAAGGCGGCUUUCUGGUCUGUAACUGACGCUGAGGCUCGAAAGCGUGGGGAGCAAACAGGAUUAGAUACCCUGGUAGUCCACGCCGUAAACGAUGAGUGCUAAGUGUUAGGGGGGUUUUCCGCCCCCCUUAGUGCUGCAGCUAACGCAUUAAGCACUCCGCCUGGGAGUACGGCCGCAAGGCUG
rnacentral:rRNA from 1 species